GAUCUUCAAGAAGUUCCAAUAAUUUUCAGAAGUCCAAGAUGAAGAAAGUAGGACUGUUCCAUGAAGUAAAACCAAACCUAAUCGCCGAAGAUUUUAUGGAACGGUUUAUGCGCAACAAGUCCAAAUAGGAGACCUUAAAGUUACAAUCUAAAACACAAUUGCACAAGAUAGGAUACAAUGAAAUAAAAAUACAGGCAGUUCUACCAGUUUGGAAAUGGGGAUGGAUCUUGGUAUUAUUUAGUACCUUCAUAUCAUGUCAUUUACUGCAACACUGAUGCUUCUUGAAUCGGCGCAUUUUGCUGUCAAGUUUGAUCCUUACGUGUUUGGUUGAGUUUUACAGCUACAGUCUGUACAGAUAUUAUUAAUGGUUACAUUGUUGAAGUUAUAUUCAAUGGAAAUAUAACAAUGGUUUAUAUAUAUGGUUUGCAAAAUGUACCUCCUUUCCUUUCACAAGUAUCAAAACCCCUUGUAAUAUUUUUCAAGUGCAUGUUUGUGGUUUGAGAUUUGAAACCUUCUUUUAUUUGUUAGAAAAAUUUACAGUAUGUGUAUUCAUAA